rnacentral:rRNA from 1 species
GGAGUUAGCCGGUGCUUCUUCUGUGAGUGAUGUCCUUCCUGCCGGCUAUUAACCCGCAGGCCUUCUUCCUCACUGAAAGUGCUUUACAACCCGAAGGCCUUCUUCACACACGCGGCAUGGCUGGAUCAGGGUUGCCCCCAUUGUCCAAUAUUCCCCACUGCUGCCUCCCGUAGGAGUCUGGGCCGUGUCUCAGUCCCAGUGUGGCUGAUCAUCCUCUCAGACCAGCUACGGAUCGUCGCCUUGGUGAGCCGUUACCUCACCAACCAGCUAAUCCGACAUAGGCUCAUCCGAUAGCGCGAGGCCCGAAGGUCCCCCGCUUUCCCCCGUAGGGCGUAUGCGGUAUUAGCCUGGGUUUCCCCAGGGUUAUCCCCCACUACCGGGCAGAUUCCUAUGCAUUACUCACCCGUCCGCCGCUCGCCACCAGGGAGCAAGCUCCCCGUGCUGCCGCUCGACUUGCAUGUGUUAGGCCUGCCGCCAGCGUUCAAUCUGAGCCAUAAUCAAACUCUGA